GAUGAACGCUGGCGGCGUGCCUAAUACAUGCAAGUCGAGCGAACGGACGAGAAGCUUGCUUUUCUGAUGUUAGCGGCGGACGGGUGAGUAACACGUGGAUAACCUACCUAUAAGACUGGGAUAACUUCGGGAAACCGGAGCUAAUACCGGAUAAUAUUUUGAACCGCAUGGUUCAAAAGUGAAAGACGGUCUUGCUGUCACUUAUAGAUGGAUCCGCGCUGCAUUAGCUAGUUGGUAAGGUAACGGCUUACCAAGGCAACGAUGCAUAGCCGACCUGAGAGGAUGAUCAGCCACACUGGAACUGAGACACGGUCCAGACUCCUACGGGAGGCAGCAGUGGGGAAUAUUGGACAAUGGGCGAAAGCCUGACGCAGCAAUACCGCGUGGGUGAAGAAGGUCUUCGGGUUGUAAAGCUCUGUUGUUAGGAAAGAAAAUCAGUGUGUGAAACUGUGGAUGUUCUGACGGUACCUAAAGAGUAAGCAACGGCUAACUUCGUG
rnacentral:rRNA from 1 species